UUCUUUUUCCUUUUCGUCUCUUCCUUUUUUUUUGCCUUUUUCUUCUUCUUCUUUUAUCGUCUUCGUUUCCAGCGCUCUGGGGUAAUAACGGGAACCAGGG
rnacentral:ribozyme from 1 species